rnacentral:rRNA from 1 species
UACGGGGGGGGCAAGCGUUGUUCGGAAUUACUGGGCGUAAAGGGCUCGUAGGCGGCCAACUAAGUCGGAUGUGAAAUCCCCAAGCUUAACUUGGGAACUGCAUCCGAUACUGGAUGGCUUGAAUCCGGGAGAGGGAUGCAGAAUUCCAGGUGUAGCGGUGAAAUGCGUAGAUAUUGGGAGGAACACCGGUGGCGAAGGCGGCUACCUGGACCGGUUCUGACGCUGAUGCGCGAAAGCGUGGGUAGCAAACAGG